AUGAGGCUGGCAUCAGAAGAUGAGUGCUUGCUGUGCCCUGCAGGCUGGUUUUGUGUAGGAGGAGUUCAUGUCCCUUCUGGCAUGUGCAGCUCAGGGCAUUACUGCCCUCAAGGUACAAGGAGAAGCACACAGUACCCCUGCCCUGCUGGAACUUACAGUACCAGGCUGGGAAAUGGCAGAGUGGAAGACUGUGCAGCCUGCCCUGCAGGGGCUUUCUGCACCAGGGGAACCUCCAAGCCAGUUCUUUGCCCAGUAGGAACCUAUUGCAUGGAACAUGGUGCAAAAGUGGCUGCAGAUUGUGUCCCUUGUCCUGGAGGGUACUACUGCCCUGAGCUUGGCACUGUUACUCCUCGAACAUGUGGUGCUGGCAACUUUUCAGACCAAGGUUCAGCCUCCUGCUUGUCAUGUGUUGUUGGACAUUACUGUGCUAGUGAGCACACCAGCCGGGAGGUGAUGCUGCGUGCCAUGAUUUGCCCAGAAGGACAGGCAGUCGCGCCAGAUGCCAGUAAAAAUGCCUGCCCAAGAGGAUAUUACUGUCCCCAGGGAGGUGCUGGCUUGCCUGCUAAACCUUGCCCCAGUGGGACCUAUGGUGAGCAGAAGGGACUAAGCAGUGCUGAGGAAUGCUUGCUGUGCCCUGCAGGGAAGCACUGCUACAGAGCUGGGAUGGAGCCUCCUGGAAUUCCCCACCCUGUAAGCACAGCCCAGCUUCUCCCAACCUUUCUUUUCCAGAGGCUGCAGCUCUAA
rnacentral:lncRNA from 1 species